CUGAUGUUGUCACAUUUCCUCCAUUUCAAACUGACACAUUGCACAGUCACAUUUCUCUCAGGUUUUGUUCCUUCCUAGGAUGGAAGCGUAUUGCUCCUUAAUGGGCGAUCCUCCAAUCCAACCUCAACCAAGAAACUAACCAAGACAGCAGUUUCAGAUCCAACGCAGUGGCAGUCAUAAAUGAGUUACAAACGGAGGCACAAUAAAUAAAUACGAAGAUAUCUAGCUGGAGCCUGCCUAGUUAGAGCUAUUUACAUACAACUCAGACCCAGAAUAAGUUCAUCGAAAUUGCAACGAAAAGGAAUCCAGAUGCUAAAGUCAAAAGAAGUUCACUGUUACUGGAAAAAGGGAAUAAAGAUUUAUGUUC